GAUGAACGCUGGCGGCGUGCCUAAUACAUGCAAGUCGAGCGAACAGACGAGGAGCUUGCUCCUCUGACGUUAGCGGCGGACGGGUGAGUAACACGUGGAUAACCUACCUAUAAGACUGGGAUAACUUCGGGAGACCGGAGCUAAUACCGGAUAAUAUAUUGAACCGCAUGGUUCAAUAGUGAAAGACGGUUUUGCUGUCACUUAUAGAUGUAUCCGCGCCGCAUUAGUUAGUUGGUAAGGUAACGGCUUACCAAGGCUACGAUACGUAGCCGACCUGAGAGGGUGCUUGACGACACUAGAAAUGUGACAAGGGCAAGAAUGCUACGGGGAUCGAGAGCAGGGAAUAAUGCCCAAUGCCCGAAUACCAGGCGGAACAGCGUCGCGUCGGUCAUAAAGAACUUCGGAUCGUAGAAAUCUAUAAUUAGAAAAAAACAAAUCUGUAAGAAACUAUGCACGUUUUGACGGUACCUAAUCAGAAAGCCACGGGUAACUACAUG
rnacentral:rRNA from 1 species